AGCUUGCUUUUCUUGAUUAGUGGCGCACGGGUGAGUAAUGCAUAGAUAAUGUGCCCCUUAGUUCGGGAUAGCCACUGGAAACGGUGAUUAAUACCGGAUACUCCUUCUUGUUAUAAGACAAGUCGGGAAAGUUUUUCGCUAAGGGAUCAGUCUAUGUUCCAUCAGCUUGUUGGUGAGGUAAUGGCUCACCAAGGCUAUGACGGAUAUCUGGUUUGAGAGGAUGAUCAGACACACUGGAACUGAGACACGGUCCAGACUCCUACGGGAGGCAGCAGUGAGGAAUAUUGCACAAUGGAGGAAACUCUGAUGCAGCAACGCCGCGUGGAGGAUGACGCAUUUCGGUGUGUAAACUCCUUUUAUUAGGGAAGAUAAUGACGGUACCUAAUGAAUAAGCACCGGCUAACUCCGUGCCAGCAGCCGCGGUAAUACGGAGGGUGCAAGCGUUACUCGGAAUCACUGGGCGUAAAGGGUGCGUAGGCUGGCUUUUAAGUCAGAUGUGAAAUCCAAUGGCUCAACCAUUGAACUGCAUUUGAAACUGAAAGCCUAGAGUUCAGAAGGGGCAGAUGGAAUUAGUGGUGUAGGGGUAAAAUCCGUAGAUAUCACUAGGAAUAUCAAAAGCGAAGGCGAUCUGCUGGGAUGAUACUGACG
rnacentral:rRNA from 1 species